CGUAGGGUGCGAGCGUUAAUCGGAAUUACUGGGCGUAAAGGGCGCGUAGGCGGUUUGCUAAGUUGGAUGUGAAAACUCUGGGCUUAACCCAGAGCCUGCAUCCAAAACUGGCAAACUUGAGUACUGGAGGGGAAAGCGGAAUUCCUGGUGUAGCGGUGAAAUGCGUAGAUAUCAGGAGGAACACCGGUGGCGAAGGCGGCUUUCUGGACAGUAACUGACGCUGAGGCGCGAAAGCUAGGGGAGCAAACAGGAUUAGAUACCCUGGUAGUCCUAGCCCUAAACGAUGGAUACUUGGUGUGAGGGGGAUUGAAUCCCUUCGUGCCGUAGCUAACGCAAUAAGUAUCCCGCCUGGGGAGUACGGUCGCAAGGCUG
rnacentral:rRNA from 1 species